rnacentral:RNase_P_RNA from 1 species
GGGACGGACAGUCGCGGGGUGCAGCCCAACGGCUGCAUCAUGAGGAAAGUCCGGGCUCCACAGGGCAAGGAUAACGGGUAACGCCCGCCCAGAGCGAUCUGAGGAAAAGUGCAACAGAAAUAUACCGCCUCGUCCAUAUACCAACGCAGGAAACCGCAGGAGUGUUUCCUGCAUGCUCCCAAAAGACGGCAAAGCCCCUGCUUUGACGGCAGAGGAGGAAGAAUGGAAUGUACAAGCUUUGCUUCUUGCGGCAAAGCGAAGGAUAUGAAGUUUUUCCGUCCCCAAAAGCCGGCAAAGCCCCGCUUUGACGGCAGAGGAGGCGCAACGGAAUGUAUGAGCUUUGCCACUUGCGGCGAAGCGAAGGAUAUGAAGUUUGCGCCGACGAGGUAAGGGUGGAAACGUGCGGUAAGAGCGCACGCAUCGGCGUGGAAGCGUCCGUUGCUGUAAACUCUAUCCGGAGCAACACCGUGGAGGAAACAAGGCUUGCCCGGCUGUUUCCGAGGAGGUGGCUGGAGCGCACCGGCAACGAUGCGCCUAGAUAGAUGACUGUCGAUUACAGAACCCGGCUUACAGACCCGAUC